CAGAAUUGACACGGAUGACAAAUGCCAUCUAGAUCGGUUUGGGAAUGUCAUUGUGCAAUAUGGUUUGUUGAGACAUAGCAUUUACUAAGACAUUUGAAUAAAUAGUAGAGCAUGUCUGGGUAGCACACGUCAUUAUAUGUUGUAGCCUUACCAUAGUAGAGGUUGCACAAAGGAAGAAAAUGAAUGAUAAGUAGAACUAUAUGUAUACAAAUAUUGUCGUCCAGUACAGCUGGACUGUGACAGAAGUAGGGAAGGCAACGGCUUGCUAUCUUUUGCACCAUUAAGCACUGAACAAGAUAGAAGGGAAUGUUGCGGGGUUAUAGAAUUAUCUAACACGUUUGUAUAUGUCGGAUCGUACGGCUUAGGACCCCAAGAUUGAUCUGAGGAGGCAUAACUAGCUCUUUAUUGUCUCUUAGUGUUCUAUUUUCAACCUUUUACAUCUCUUUCAAGUACAGAGUAAAAGUAUAGCAUGAUCAGACAAACACGAAUCAGUCGACGUUCAAUGUAUGUAAUCGACGUUCUAUGUAUGUAUCAUUCGUGUUUGUCUGACCAGACAAUCGAUUGGCACCGCAAUCUCGGACUAUUUCCAUGAAGCAAGGGAACCACUAACAUUAAUAUGCAUGUGACGUACAACAUGGUAUUUAGCCUGGUGAUGAUUGACUUGUUGUUGGGUACUAAAUACUUACUUUCGUAUGUGUCAUAUUUCUUCCACACACAUUAAGUAACUAUCAGGUCCCUCGUUUCAAAUUAAUUAGCUACAAUGCGACCCCAGAAAGGCAAACUAGUCGUGAUGCCAUCUAAAUGCAAUCAAGCUGGCAUACGUUUGGGAAUGAAACCAUUGCAAACUGACCAAACAUUAUGAAAUUCCACUAAACAUUCCAAAAAAUACAUUUGACUAGGUAAAAAUAUGACAAGUAUUUUAGGAUUAAAAGAAGUACUCUAUAUACUAGUAUAAUAUUUACGACAUUAAUUAAGGUGAAAAUAACCAGUAUAAGGUUUUCGUGAUGCAUGCUUUCAAAUUGCCAAGAAAAUGAGAUUUUAGAUGUAGGUUGCUCAUGGCUAAAUAUAUGCUGAGAUGCAUGUCUUUGGAUUUUGUAAUAUGGUCUUCCAUAUAACAUGUCCGAGAUGGCGUGAGUAAAAAUUGAUGCAUUUUCUUUGGUCGCCCUUAUUCCAUAGUUGAGUCCAUUCACAUUUCUCGUAUAUGCUUUCAUGGUCCAAGUGAUCGUCCCAAAAAAUAAGUAUACAUUAUAUACGCAUACAAGAAAAAAAUAAGGACAAGUCGAGCAACAUAUGCUAAAUACACCAUUGGAUUCUCGAGAAUGUAGAUUCUUGGAUUAAGUAACAGAGUUGAGUGGGAGGGCUAGAGGAACCCAAUGCACAAAUAAGAGAAUCUAGUGAGCUUAGUAAAAACAUGGAAUUGCUGAUAAAGUGGAUCAAGUGAUAACGUCUUGAGAAAAAUUCACAUGAACACGAGGAAUGAAUUUGGCAAUUCAAUUGGCUUUCUUUUGGAACUUAAUCACAUAUACCAAAUAUUCACUAAUGUUGAAACUUACGUGAUCAUUGUACAGGCCAAGGCCCACCUUGACCUGUGAAAACUCCAAACCUUACUGGUUGGAUCGGAGCCUUAACAACCCAACUUAGAUUUGAACAAAUAGGAAGAAUAAUUUUAUGAACUACGGUAAAAAAACAUGUAUCAUUUGAGAAAUCCAUCACAAACAUCUGCCACCAUUAGAUCCAGGCUAGCGGAAAGCCUUGCUCAACUUCUCCCUUGUUUCUAAAAGUGAUCAGCGAUCGAUCCUCAUUGAGUAGAGGAUCAAACUGACCGGGGCGAAGAAUAUUUAAAUCUCGAUGGUUCAUCCUAUUCACAUGAGCAACCUAUACAUUUCUAUCAUGUAUGGUUGCCAAUCUGGUCAUUCACAUGCCCCAUCAACCACCUCCUUAGCUAGUUCAAAAUACAUUUGAUGGAUGGUUGGUUAUCACUCGUAUUCAUGGAAAUCUAUUAUUUUGUGUGAAUUUAAUCUAGCUCACAUAAAUGUGGUUCAUUCAUUAUCUUGUUUCUAAGUAGCUUUGUGCGAUGAUUUUCUUGUUUAGCUCAUAUCAGUUUUGAUCGCCAAUUUUGUAGAGCUUAUGUACCCGUUAUGAGCACCAUCUUUUAUAGUUUCAAUCGUGUACAGGAUGUGCACAUUACUACAUAUGCACAUCACCCUUACUCCAAAUACAACAUAUUUCUACCAAUUGCAAGGCACAUCAAUUGAUAUUACAGUUUUAGUAUAGGUAAAUCCACAUGUAUAUUGUCUGACAUGAGGAUAAGAGUCACAUAUCAAUGUUGUAUUAGUUUAGAGCUCACAUAUCACUUAACUGAGUGCAAAUUUUAGACCCCGAUGUGUAAGAGUUCUUGGUUGUCUUCCUGAGGCAGAUAUCGCUCCAUGCUAUUAAUUAGGAUUUUAUAUUAUCUUUGAAAUUCACAUCUAUGUUAUAGUGAAAAUUGGGUAUAAACAUGGAAACCAUUUUAUUUUGGAGCACCCAAAAAGGAAUGUCCUUCACAUCUCCGUUGAGCUUGAGUUCAAAGAAGUGCAACGUGGCAAUGAUGUCCGCCAAGUUGCAAGUAUGAGUGCAGUUGUAGGUCGGGAUCUCAUUUUAACUCGAUGGAAUUUCACGAUGGGUCAUGUUUUGGUUUAAUUUAUCUAAUGAUAUUAGUUAUUUUAAUAUCUGAGAGGCUACAUGUACUUAUACUUGAACAUAGAAAACUUUAUCUUCGUUUUAUUUACAUGUAACCAAAGUUGGAUUGUUUGAGGUGUGGUCAGAGUAGCUAGGUUGUGUUGGGGCCAAGGUGAGCAUUGGUUCCUAAAAAUUUGUGUACCAUCAAUAGUGAUGCUAGUUGUGAUAGAAAUAAAUUAAGGUCCAGACUAUUGCCA
rnacentral:lncRNA from 1 species